rnacentral:rRNA from 1 species
GGGGCGGCGCUACCAUGCAGUCGAACGGUAACAGGAAGCAGCUUGCUGCUUUGCUGACGAGUGGCGGACGGGUGAGUAAUGUCUGGGAAACUGCCUGAUGGAGGGGGAUAACUACUGGAAACGGUAGCUAAUACCGCAUAACGUCGCAAGACCAAAGAGGGGGACCUUAGGGCCUCUUGCCAUCGGAUGUGCCCAGAUGGGAUUAGCUAGUAGGUGGGGUAACGGCUCACCUAGGCGACGAUCCCUAGCUGGUCUGAGAGGAUGACCAGCCACACUGGAACUGAGACACGGUCCAGACUCCUACGGGAGGCAGCAGUGGGGAAUAUUGCACAAUGGGCGCAAGCCUGAUGCAGCCAUGCCGCGUGUAUGAAGAAGGCCUUCGGGUUGUAAAGUACUUUCAGCGGGGAGGAAGGGAGUAAAGUUAAUACCUUUGCUCAUUGACGUUACCCGCAGAAGAAGCACCGGCUAACUCCGUGCCAGCAGCCGCGGUAAUACGGAGGGUGCAAGCGUUAAUCGGAAUUACUGGGCGUAAAGCGCACGCAGGCGGUUUGUUAAGUCAGAUGUGAAAUCCCCGGGCUCAACCUGGGAACUGCAUCUGAU